rnacentral:rRNA from 1 species
UUAAGUUAUUAAGGGCGCACGGUGGAUGCCUUGGCACUAGAAGCCGAUGAAGGACGUUACUAACGACGAUAUGCUUUGGGGAGCUGUAAGUAAGCUUUGAUCCAGAGAUUUCCGAAUGGGGAAACCCAGCAUGAGUUAUGUCAUGUUAUCGAUAUGUGAAUACAUAGCAUAUCAGAAGGCACACCCGGAGAACUGAAACAUCUUAGUACCCGGAGGAAGAGAAAGAAAAUUCGAUUCCCUUAGUAGCGGCGAGCGAAACGGGAAGGCCCAAACCAACAAGCUUGCUUGUUGGGGUUGUAGGACACUCUAUACGGAGUUACAAAGGACGACAUUAGACGAAUCAUCUGGAAAGAUGAAUCAAAGAAGGUAAUAAUCCUGUAGUCGAAAAUGUUGUCUCUCUUGAGUGGAUCCUGAGUACGACGGAGCACGUGAAAUUCCGUCGGAAUCUGGGAGGACCAUCUCCUAAGGCUAAAUACUCUCUAGUGACCGAUAGUGAACCAGUACCGUGAGGGAAAGGUGAAAAGCACCCCGGAAGGGGAGUGAAAUAGAACCUGAAACCGUGUGCUUACAAGUAGUCAGAGCCCGUUAAUGGGUGAUGGCGUGCCUUUUGUAGAAUGAACCGGCGAGUUACGAUUUGAUGCAAGGUUAAGCAGUAAAUGUGGAGCCGUAGCGAAAGCGAGUCUGAAUAGGGCGUUUAGUAUUUGGUCGUAGACCCGAAACCAGGUGAUCUACCCUUGGUCAGGUUGAAGUUCAGGUAACACUGAAUGGAGGACCGAACCGACUUACGUUGAAAAGUGAGCGGAUGAACUGAGGGUAGCGGAGAAAUUCCAAUCGAACCUGGAGAUAGCUGGUUCUCUCCGAAAUAGCUUUAGGGCUAGCCUCAAGUGAUGAUUAUUGGAGGUAGAGCACUGUUUGGACGAGGGGCCCCUCUCGGGUUACCGAAUUCAGACAAACUCCGAAUGCCAAUUAAUUUAACUUGGGAGUCAGAACAUGGGUGAUAAGGUCCGUGUUCGAAAGGGAAACAGCCCAGACCACCAGCUAAGGUCCCAAAAUAUAUGUUAAGUGGAAAAGGAUGUGGCGUUGCCCAGACAACUAGGAUGUUGGCUUAGAAGCAGCCAUCAUUUAAAGAGUGCGUAAUAGCUCACUAGUCGAGUGACACUGCGCCGAAAAUGUACCGGGGCUAAACAUAUUACCGAAGCUGUGGAUUGUCCUUUGGACAAUGGUAGGAGAGCGUUCUAAGGGCGUUGAAGCAUGAUCGUAAGGACAUGUGGAGCGCUUAGAAGUGAGAAUGCCGGUGUGAGUAGCGAAAGACGGGUGAGAAUCCCGUCCACCGAUUGACUAAGGUUUCCAGAGGAAGGCUCGUCCGCUCUGGGUUAGUCGGGUCCUAAGCUGAGGCCGACAGGCGUAGGCGAUGGAUAACAGGUUGAUAUUCCUGUACCACCUAUAAUCGUUUUAAUCGAUGGGGGGACGCAGUAGGAUAGGCGAAGCGUGCGAUUGGAUUGCACGUCUAAGCAGUAAGGCUGAGUAUUAGGCAAAUCCGGUACUCGUUAAGGCUGAGCUGUGAUGGGGAGAAGACAUUGUGUCUUCGAGUCGUUGAUUUCACACUGCCGAGAAAAGCCUCUAGAUAGAAAAUAGGUGCCCGUACCGCAAACCGACACAGGUAGUCAAGAUGAGAAUUCUAAGGUGAGCGAGCGAACUCUCGUUAAGGAACUCGGCAAAAUGACCCCGUAACUUCGGGAGAAGGGGUGCUCUUUAGGGUUAACGCCCAGAAGAGCCGCAGUGAAUAGGCCCAAGCGACUGUUUAUCAAAAACACAGGUCUCUGCUAAACCGUAAGGUGAUGUAUAGGGGCUGACGCCUGCCCGGUGCUGGAAGGUUAAGAGGAGUGGUUAGCUUCUGCGAAGCUACGAAUCGAAGCCCCAGUAAACGGCGGCCGUAACUAUAACGGUCCUAAGGUAGCGAAAUUCCUUGUCGGGUAAGUUCCGACCCGCACGAAAGGCGUAACGAUUUGGGCACUGUCUCAACGAGAGACUCGGUGAAAUCAUAGUACCUGUGAAGAUGCAGGUUACCCGCGACAGGACGGAAAGACCCCGUGGAGCUUUACUGUAGCCUGAUAUUGAAAUUCGGCACAGCUUGUACAGGAUAGGUAGGAGCCUUUGAAACGUGAGCGCUAGCUUACGUGGAGGCGCUGGUGGGAUACUACCCUAGCUGUGUUGGCUUUCUAACCCGCACCACUUAUCGUGGUGGGAGACAGUGUCAGGCGGGCAGUUUGACUGGGGCGGUCGCCUCCUAAAAGGUAACGGAGGCGCUCAAAGGUUCCCUCAGAAUGGUUGGAAAUCAUUCAUAGAGUGUAAAGGCAUAAGGGAGCUUGACUGCGAGACCUACAAGUCGAGCAGGGUCGAAAGACGGACUUAGUGAUCCGGUGGUUCCGCAUGGAAGGGCCAUCGCUCAACGGAUAAAAGCUACCCCGGGGAUAACAGGCUUAUCUCCCCCAAGAGUUCACAUCGACGGGGAGGUUUGGCACCUCGAUGUCGGCUCAUCGCAUCCUGGGGCUGUAGUCGGUCCCAAGGGUUGGGCUGUUCGCCCAUUAAAGCGGUACGCGAGCUGGGUUCAGAACGUCGUGAGACAGUUCGGUCCCUAUCCGUCGUGGGCGUAGGAAAUUUGAGAGGAGCUGUCCUUAGUACGAGAGGACCGGGAUGGACAUACCUCUGGUGUACCAGUUGUCGUGCCAACGGCAUAGCUGGGUAGCUAUGUGUGGACGGGAUAAGUGCUGAAAGCAUCUAAGCAUGAAGCCCCCCUCAAGAUGAGAUUUCCCAACUUCGGUUAUAAGAUCCCUCAAAGAUGAUGAGGUUAAUAGGUUCGAGGUGGAAGCAUGGUGACAUGUGGAGCUGACGAAUACUAAUCGAUCGAAGACUUAAUCAA